AUCAAGGGAUGGGAAUCGAACCCACGACCUUCCGCUUACCGGGCAGAUGCCAUGACCACUAGGCUACCCUAGA
rnacentral:tRNA from 1 species